ACACUAUUUGUGGCAUUGGGCUGGCAUAGAAAACAUGUCACCGAGGAUCUCAAGUGAUUAUGCUUGUGGCCAAACAAGUUUAGGUGUACACAAUAAAAUUUUUUUAGCUUAUAGAAAAGCAAAUUACGCUGUAAAUAACUUCGACGCUUUAGCCAACUAGCAGUAAAAUCAAAGAAGGAAAAGCUCUUCCUUUCCUUUGCUUGAGGACCAGUGGCACCCGGUGAUUGAAAUGGGCCACCACGCGAUAAACAUAGCCCAAUAUUCAUCCCCAGUCCCGAGAAAUUGAUGCCGGAGAAUAAU
rnacentral:lncRNA from 1 species